UCAAACUUGGUCAUUUAGAGGAAGUAAAAGUCGUAACAAGGUUUCCGUAGGUGAACCUGCGGAAGGAUCAUUAUUGAAUUUAUGGGUUUGUAGCUGGCCCCUGCGGGGGGAGCAUGUGCACGGCCCUCAAUUCUCAAUUCAUCCACCUGUCCACCUUUCGUAGUCUUAUCUGGUCAGAGUUUCACUCAGUCAAUCCAUUGGCUUCUGAGUAUUCACCUAUAUGCCUCCUAGUAGUGCAGGUGAUCCUCUGAGUUGCAAUCUCUUUCCUGACACAGACUAUGUCUUUUAUCACAAACCAUCUAGUAUGUCCCCAGAAUGUAGUUAAUGGGCUCUGUCCCUAUAUAAAUCAUUAUACAACUUUCAGCAACGGAUCUCUUGGCUCUCGCAUCGAUGAAGAACGCAGC
rnacentral:misc_RNA from 1 species